rnacentral:rRNA from 1 species
GGCAGCAGUGAGGAAUAUUGGACAAUGGAUGGAAAUCUGAUCCAGCCAUGCCGCGUGCAGGAAGACGGCCUUAUGGGUUGUAAACUGCUUUUAUACGGGAGCAAUAAGGGUUACGAGUAAUCCGAUGAGAGUACUGUAUGAAUAAGGAUCGGCUAACUCCGUGCCAGCAGCCGCGGUAAUACGGAGGAUCCGAGCGUUAUCCGGAAUUAUUGGGUUUAAAGGGUGCGUAGGCGGCCAUUUAAGUCAGCGGUGAAAUUUUGCAGCUUAACUGUAACAGCGCCGUUGAUACUGUUUGGCUAGGAUUUGGUUGUAGUGUGCGGAAUGUGUGGUGUAGCGGUGAAAUGCUUAGAUAUCACACAGAACACCGAUUGCGAAGGCAGCACACUAAGUCAUUAUUGACGCUGAGGCACGAAAGUGUGGGGAUCAAACAGGAUUAGAUACCCUGGUAGUCCACACUGUAAACGAUGAUAACUCGCUGUCGGCGAUACACAGUCGGUGGCCAAGCGAAAGCAUUAAGUUAUCCACCUGGGGAGUACGACCGCAAGGUUGAAACUCAAAGGAAUUGACGGGGGCCCGCACAAGCGGAGGAACAUGUGGUUUAAUUCGAUGAUACGCGAGGAACCUUACCCGGGCUCGAACGGUGCAUGAAUAUACGAGAGAUUGUAUAGUCCUUCGGGACAUGUAUCGAGGUGCUGCAUGGUCGUCGUCAGCUCGUGCCGUGAGGUGUCGGCUUAAGUGCCAUAACGAGCGC